UAAUACGAAGGGGGCUAGCGUUGUUCGGAAUUACUGGGCGUAAAGGGCGCGUAGGCGGUCUUUUAAGUUAGGCGUGAAAGCCCCGGGCUCAACCCGGGAACUGCGCUUAAGACUGAAAGACUAGAAAACGGAAGAGGGUAGUGGAAUUCCAAGUGUAGAGGUGAAAUUCGUAGAUAUUGGAUGGAACACCAGUGGCGAAGGCGGCCAUCUGGUCCGGGUCUGACGCUGAGGCGCGAAAGCGUGGGGAGCGAACAGGAUUAGAUACCCUGGUAGUCCACGCCGUAAACGAUGAGUGCUAAGUGU
rnacentral:rRNA from 1 species